AAUUCGAUUGUUUGAUCAUGGCUCAGGACGAACGCUGGCGGCGUGCUUAACACAUGCAAGUGGAGCGACGAACCAGGCUUCGGCCUGGGGCAAAGCCGCGAACGGGUGAGUAACACGUGGGUAACCUGCCCUGAUGAUCGGGACAACCCGGGGAAACCCGGGCUAAUACCGAAUGUGCCCGCGAGCCACAAGGCUCGCGCGGAAAGGAAGCUUUGGCCUCCGCAUCGGGAUGGGCCCGCGGCCCAUUAGCUUGUUGGUGGGGUAAUGGCCUACCAAGGCAGCAAUGGGUAGCUGGUCUGAGAGGACGAUCAGCCACACUGGGACUGAGACACGGCCCAGACUCCUACGGGAGGCAGCAGUGGGGAAUCUUGCGCAAUGCGCGAAAGCGUGACGCAGCAACGCCGCGUGGGGGAAGACGGCCUUCGGGUUGUAAACCCCUUUCAGUUGGGACGAAGCUUCGUCGGUGAAUAGCCGGCUGGAGUGACGGUACCUUCAGAAGAAGCCCCGGCUAACUACGUGCCAGCAGCCGCGGUAAUACGUAGGGGGCAAGCGUUGUCCGGAAUCAUUGGGCGUAAAGAGCGUGUAGGCGGCCCGAUAAGUCCGCCGUGAAAGUCCAGGGCUCAACCCUGGAAUGCCGGUGGAUACUGUCGGGCUAGAGUCCGGAAGGGGCGAGUGGAAUUCCUGGUGUAGCGGUGAA
rnacentral:rRNA from 1 species